UGGGGAAUAUUGGGCAAUGGGCGAAAGCCUGACCCAGCCAUGCCGCGUGGGUGAAGAAGGUCCUAGGAUUGUAAAGCCCUUUCAGCGGGGAAGAUGAUGACGGUACCCGCAGAAGAAGCCCCGGCUAACUCCGUGCCAGCAGCCGCGGUAAGACGGAGGGGGCUAGCGUUGUUCGGAAUUACUGGGCGUAAAGGGCGUGUAGGCGGAUCAGUCAGUCAGGGGUGAAAUCCCUGGGCUCAACCCAGGAACUGCCUUUGAUACUGCUGAUCUAGAGUCCGGGAGAGGAUCGUGGAAUUCCCAGUGUAGAGGUGAAAUUCGUAGAUAUUGGGAAGAACACCAGUGGCGAAGGCGGCGAUCUGGACCGGUACUGACGCUGAGGCGCGAAAGCGUGGGGAGCAAACAGGAUUAGAUACCCCCGUAGUCC
rnacentral:rRNA from 1 species